GGUUAAGUGAAUAAGGGCGCACGGUGGAUGCCUUGGCACUAGGAGCCGAUGAAGGACGGGACUAACACCGAUAUGCUUUGGGGAGCUGUAAGUAAGCUAUGAUCCAGAGAUUUCCGAAUGGGGGAACCCAAUAUCUUUUAUAGGAUAUUACUUUUCAGUGAAUACAUAGCUGAUUAGAGGUAGACGCAGAGAACUGAAACAUCUUAGUACCUGCAGGAAGAGAAAGAAAAUUCGAUUCCCUGAGUAGCGGCGAGCGAAACGGGAAGAGCCCAAACCAACAAGCUUGCUUGUUGGGGUUGUAGGACUCCAAUAUGGUAGUCUGUUAGUAUAGUUGAAGGAUUUGGAAAAUUCCGCUAAAGAGGGUGAAAGCCCCGUAGACGAAAUGCUGACAACACCUAGGAGGAUCCUGAGUACGGCGGAACACGAGAAAUUCCGUCGGAAUCCGCGGGGACCAUCCCGCAAGGCUAAAUACUCCCUAGUGACCGAUAGUGAACCAGUACCGUGAGGGAAAGGUGAAAAGCACCCCGGAAGGGGAGUGAAAUAGAUCCUGAAACCGUGUGCCUACAACAAGUCAAAGCUCGUUAAUGAGUGAUGGCGUGCCUUUUGUAGAAUGAACCGGCGAGUUACGAUUGCAUGCGAGGUUAAGUCGAAGAGACGGAGCCGCAGCGAAAGCGAGUCUGAAUAGGGCGAAUGAGUAUGUAGUCGUAGACCCGAAACCAUGUGAUCUACCCAUGUCCAGGUUGAAGGUGCGGUAAAACGCACUGGAGGACCGAACCCACGUACGUUGAAAAGUGCGGGGAUGAGGUGUGGGUAGCGGAGAAAUUCCAAACGAACUUGGAGAUAGCUGGUUCUCUCCGAAAUAGCUUUAGGGCUAGCCUCGGAAUUGAGAAUGAUGGAGGUAGAGCACUGUUUGGACUAGGGGCCCAUCUCGGGUUACCGAAUUCAGAUAAACUCCGAAUGCCAUUCAUUUAUAUCCGGGAGUCAGACUGCGAGUGAUAAGAUCCGUAGUCGAAAGGGAAACAGCCCAGACCACCAGCUAAGGUCCCAAAAUAUAUGUUAAGUGGAAAAGGAUGUGGGGUUGCACAGACAACUAGGAUGUUGGCUUAGAAGCAGCCACCAUUUAAAGAGUGCGUAAUAGCUCACUAGUCGAGUGACCCUGCGCCGAAAAUGUACCGGGGCUAAACAUAUUACCGAAGCUGUGGACUACACCAUUAGGUGUAGUGGUAGGAGAGCGUUCUAAGGGCGUUGAAGGUCGAUCGUGAGGACGGCUGGAGCGCUUAGAAGUGAGAAUGCCGGUAUGAGUAGCGAAAGACAGGUGAGAAUCCUGUCCACCGUAUGACUAAGGUUUCCUGGGGAAGGCUCGUCCGCCCAGGGUUAGUCGGGACCUAAGCCGAGGCCGAUAGGCGUAGGCGAUGGACAACAGGUUGAUAUUCCUGUACCAGUUGUUUUUGUUUGAGCAAUGGAGGGACGCAGUAGGCUAAGGAAUGCAUGCGAUUGGAAGUGCAUGUCCAAGCAAUGAGUCUUGAGUAGAGUUAAAUGCUUUACUCUCUAAGGACAAGUUGUGACGGGGAGCGAAAUAAUAGUAGCGAAGUUCCUGAUGUCACACUGCCAAGAAAAGCUUCUAGUGAGAAAACAACUGCCCGUACCGUAAACCGACACAGGUAGUCGAGGAGAGUAUCCUAAGG
rnacentral:rRNA from 1 species